rnacentral:rRNA from 1 species
CCGAGUUUACAACUCCCAAACCCAAUGUGAACGUUACCAAACUGUUGCCUCGGCGGGAUCUCUGCCCCGGGUGCGUCGCAGCCCCGGACCAAGGCGCCCGCCGGAGGACCAACCAAAACUCUUAUUGUAUACCCCCUCGCGGGUUUUUUACUAUCUGAGCCAUCUCGGCGCCCCUCGUGGGCGUUUCGAAAAUGAAUCAAAACUUUCAACAACGGAUCUCUUGGUUCUGGCAUCGAUGAAGAACGCAGCGAAAUGCGAUAAGUAAUGUGAAUUGCAGAAUUCAGUGAAUCAUCGAAUCUUUGAACGCACAUUGCGCCCGCCAGUAUUCUGGCGGGCAUGCCUGUCCGAGCGUCAUUUCAACCCUCGAACCCCUCCGGGGGGUCGGCGUUGGGGAUCGGCCCUUUACGGGGCCGGCCCCGAAAUACAGUGGCGGUCUCGCCGCAGCCUCUCCUGCGCAGUAGUUUGCACACUCGCAUCGGGAGCGCGGCGCGUCCACAGCCGUUAAACACCCCAAACUUCUGAAAUGUUGACCUCGGAUCAGGUAGGAAUACCCGCUGAACUUAAGCAUAUCAA